AACAAGGCGUACCUGCGGACCUGCGGAAGGAUCAUUACACAAUACAAUAUGAAGGCUGUCCGCAGCUGGAGUAUUUUAUUACCCUUGUCUUUUGCGCACUUGUUGUUUCCUGGGCGGGUUCGCUCGCCACCAGGACCACCAAAUAAACCUUUUUUAUGCGGUUGCAAUCAGCGUCAGUACAAACAAUGUAAAUCAUUUACAACUUUCAACAAUGGAUCU
rnacentral:misc_RNA from 1 species